UGAGUACACUUUAAAAGCUUUAACGAGUAUCCAUUGGAGGGCAAGUCUGGUGCCAGCAGCCGCGGUAAUUCCAGCUCCAAAAGUAUAUAUUUAAGUUGUUGCGGUUAAAAAGCUCGUAGUUGGAUUUUGGGCGCAGGCGGCCGGUCCGUCGCAAGGCGUGUACUGGACGUCCUGGCCUUCCCUCCGGUUCUCCGCCGGUGCUCUUGACUGAGUGUCGGCGGCGGCCGGAACGUUUACUUUGAAAAAAUUAGAGUGUUCAAAGCAGGCUCUCGAGCCUGGAUAAUGGUGCAUGGAAUAAUGGAAUAGGACCUCGGUUCUAUUUUGUUGGUUUUCGGAGCGCGAGGUAAUGAUUAAGAGGGACAGACGGGGGCAUUCGUACUGUGCCGUUAGAGGUGAAAUUCUUGGAUCGGCGCAAGACGAACGACUGCGAAAGCAUUUGCCAAGAAUGUUUUCUUUAAUCAAGAGCGAAAGUCAGAGGUUCGAAGACGAUCAGAUACCGUCCUAGUUCUGACUAUAAACGAUGCCAACUAGCGAUCGGGGGGCUUUACAUUGACGACCCCUCCGGCAGCUUACGGGAAACCAAAGUCUUUGGGUUCCGGGGGAAGUAUGGUUGCAAAGCUGAAACUUAAAGGAAUUGACGGAAGGGCACCACCAGGAGUGGAGCCUGCGGCUUAAUUUGACUCAACACGGGAAAUCUCACCCGGCCCGGACACAGUGAGGAUUGACAGAUUGAGAGCUCUUUCUUGAUUCUGUGGGUGGUGGUGCAUGGCCGUUCUUAG
rnacentral:ncRNA from 1 species